GACAGAAAGUAGUGUGUGUGUGUGAGUGUAUACUAAACUCAUAGGGCUGAUGAGGCACAACUGAAGACUUCAACUUCAUAUUCAGUGUCAAAAGAAAAGACGCAGUGGAAUGUUACCUGUGACAUCUCCAUGUUACACCCCAUACGCAUGCACAGGUGCAUUCUUCCUUACACACACAUACACACGCAUUGUGCUGCCUGACAACUGGUGGUAUGUACCUCCCAAUGUAAACGAUAAAUAAGGGUCAUAGACGUAUUUGCCUGUCCCAUACAUUGGGGUCAGAUGAAUAUUUUUAACUGCUUGACCUUUCGCGAUUCAGGGGUAUCGAUCCACUGGGAAUUAGUACAACUCUCCCCUACAUACAUACACACACACACACACAGAGCCCACAACUAGCUUUACCACAACCACCUCAGCUCACUGAAUCAGGGAUAGAGUGCACAUUGUUGUUAAGAGCUGACUGCAAGAUUGGUGCUUUUAAUCUAUGACACACUUUGCUGUUGUUCAGUCAUUCUGAUUUGACACCUCUGCAUUGUGCCUAUCCAUAGACUGAGUGACUGAGCCAAUGACAAAUACUGUAAUUGUUUAAUUGGAUGCAGUUUGUUGGGACCAGCUGAUAUCCUGUCAGCUGCAGUUGUCCAUCACACAAGGAAUGGUGUGAUUGUCUGAGUGUGUUUUAACCCUUCAGCAUUUAAACCAGCCAUAUUUACUCAAUAUAUUCUUCCUGUUUUAUGUUCAAACUGGCCUGAUCCAGCCUUUCACACCUACCCUACAAUGUUAGUCUAUAAAAAAAAAAAUAGUCACAUAAUCGAAAUCUCAAGGCGACAAGACAAUACCUGAUUAAUUCAAAAUGAUGUGAAUAAAUAAGCAUUAUAUUUGAUAAAGGGGUAGAAGAAAAAGGGGUUGAGCUUCUAGUGGGAUUAAAGAUUGUGGAGAUUGCGUGUGUAUGUGGAGUAAUUACUGAGAAAUUUCAAUAGCUGUCCUCUCCACUUUAGGUUUGUGUCCCUAGAUUCUACAUGUUCCUAUAUGUAUGCGUAUCGUAGGAAACAAAACUGGGUGGUUAGGAAGGGCAUCCAACUAUAAAGACCAUUGCCAAAACAGACAGUGAAGCUUGGUGCAGUCUUCUCCCCAGCCAGCUCCUGUCAAACCGUCCAACCCAUGCCAGCAUGGAAAGCAGACAUGAAAUAAUGAUGAUGAUUUUAUAUAUAUAUAUAUAUAUAAUGUCGUCCUGAAUUAUACAUUUUUGCAGUGUGUUGAUGGCACUAAAAUGCAAGUCUCUCCGAUAAAGUGGGUUCCCCCAUCAGAUGAAACCAUAGCGGUACUUGCUUCUGACUUUCUCGUGUUUUCUUGGCUGAGAUAUUGGGGUGGUUUGCCAUUGCCUUCCCCAACUAGAUGGCUGCUGGCCCCCCCGGGGAGCUCAUCUGCCCUUUGACAAGCCUUGUUUUUUUAGUCCUGCUGAGUGCCCAGACACCCUCCUCACAAGAGUAGCUAACUACACAAGUGGGAGGGGUGGUUUUAGUGACCGACCAUCCAACCGUGAAACACCUACUUGUUUACAUGGUACCAGUAGCAGAUCUCAUCAUCCUGUGAUGAGAUCUCUGACCUAAUAUUUUGUGUGUGUAUACACACUCUGACAGAUACAUACAUACAUACAUACACACACACAAAUAAAUAAAUAUAUAUAUAUAUAUAUCAAUAAUAAUAAUAAAGGGUGAAAUUAAUUAAUUUAGAAAUAAUCAUUAAUUUCACCAAGUAGAUUUCGGCAUGUAAAGCCCCAUUCAAGGAAGGUUUAAGUAAUACUAAGUAAUUAAGGGUUUAACAAGGAUUUGCCUCACCACACACCGAAAUUUAGAAAUAGCAGUCAAAGAGUUUUGGCUAUUCUUUCUACUUAAGAGUAGGAAGAAUAGCCCAAAACUCUUAAAAGUAGAAAGAAUAGCCAAAACUCUUUGACUGCUAUUUCUAAAUUCGGUGUGUGGUGAGGCAAAUCAUUGCUAAACCCUUAAUUACUUAUAUAUAUAUAUAUAUAUAUAUAUAUAUAUAUAUAUAUAAAUACAAUAAAGGGCUUCCAAAUAAAGAAGCAUUGUGCUAGACACACAAAAAGGGAUAAAUUCAUGAAAUUUUUAAUUUUCAUUCCUUUCAUGAAUUUAUUCCUUUUUGUGUGCCUAGCACAACACUUCUUUAUUUGGAAGACCUUUAUUGUAUUUCUAUAUCGUCUUUUGUGCUGGGUCACUGGUAAUAAUAAUUUAUUUUUUAUUACCCUAUUUACUAUGUUUAUAUAUAUAUAUAUAUAUAUAUAGGAUGUGAGAUCAAGGUAGACCAUAUAGGUAUUUUGAUUAUAUUUUACUUGUUUUGGUAGUAUUAGGGGGUAGCUAGCUAUAACUGGCUUUCCUUUGCUUCUAUUUCAAUGAGACUCCAACUUUUGUGGAACCAUUGAACUGUGAUAAACUCUAUGAAGCUGUACAAUCUCUAAUAUGUACGAAACAAAUACUGCUGAUACAUCUUCUCUUCUUUCUCUUUCUCAUUUUAUCACUAAAAUCCUUCCUUUUUACCACAUCAGCGACUGGAAAAUACACUGGAAAUUGGAUGCUAAAAACAACCUUUGUUUGU
rnacentral:lncRNA from 1 species